rnacentral:lncRNA from 1 species
AGUUAUCUCCCUGUAGUGUUAGGUACCACCUUAAAUUUUUCAAAAUUCAAUAUUAAAAUAUUUGUUGAGAAAAUUUUACAGAAAUCCACAAACAUAGUGAUUUAUUUUUAAUAUAACUUUUAUAUUAGUUAUAAAAUGUUUUUUUUCUUAAAUUACUUGAUAAUAUUAUUAAUAUUAAUUAAGAAGAAAAUGUAAAGCGUUGAAUCCCACUUUGUAAUUGUCCUUGUCCCAAAUCUUGAACUAUCCAACCUCUUUAAAAGUGGUUCUAAGUAUUUAACAUCUUUUAAUUUUUGUCCUUGUAAAGAAUAGGUUUAUGAAGGCAGAUCUUUUGUAUUCGCUUUUUACAACAUAUUUUGAAUAAAAAGUUGUCUGUUAUAGUAAAAAUAGUGCUGAGGGUAGCAAGAAAUAAAAUGGACGAUUUUAUGGCAAAAAGUUUUCCUAUUAAAGAAUGUGGUUCCCCAACUUCGUCCACUGCCAAUUAAUGAGUUGUUUUUGUUGAUGUAUAAUCCACACGCACCCUUCAAAUCACCUAGAAAUAAUGAGGUCAGUAUUCAUUUGUAAAUAUAGAAUAGAUAUUAUAUUCAUUUAAAGAUAUAGAAUAGAUUAUCUUAUAUUGUCAUUCAGUUCCUCUUCAUUUUGAAUAGCUAUAUAGAUUUAAUAUAUGCAAUCAAAAAAAUAUACACCAAUAUACUCUGUUGAGAAUAGAAUGUAGUAAUAUAUUGUUGGCAA